UACAGAGGUCUCAAGCGUUGUUCGGAUUCAUUGGGCGUAAAGGGCGCGUAGGCGGCCUGCUAAGUCGAACGUGAAAUCCCCGGGCUCAACCCGGGAACUGCGUCCGAUACUGGCAGGCUUGAAUCCGGGAGAGGGAUGCGGAAUUCCAGGUGUAGCGGUGAAAUGCGUAGAUAUCUGGAGGAACACCGGUGGCGAAGGCGGCAUCCUGGACCGGCAUUGACGCUGAGGCGCGAAAGCCAGGGGAGCAAACGGG
rnacentral:rRNA from 1 species